rnacentral:rRNA from 1 species
GUUCCUACGGGGGGCAGCAGUGAGGAAUAUUGGUCAAUGGACUCAAGUCUGAACCAGCCAAGUAGCGUGCAGGAUGACGGCCCUCCGGGUUGUAAACUGCUUUUAGUUGGGAAUAAAAGGGGGCUCGUGAGCCCCGUAUUGUAUGUACCAUCAGAAAAAGGACCGGCUAAUUCCGUGCCAGCAGCCGCGGUAAUACGGAAGGUCCGGGCGUUAUCCGGAUUUAUUGGGUUUAAAGGGAGCGUAGGCCGGCUUUUAAGUCAGCUGUGAACGUACGCGGCUCACCGGUGGACUUGCAGUUGAACCUG